ACCAAUUCUGGGGGGUGAUUACAGUUCCUCCUGGUAUAAUGGCUUGGACGCUAUAAAUAGUUUGUGGCUAUGAUCCUGAUUUAUGGCUUUUCUCAAUGCCAUUUGAUCGUGGAAACACCACAUACAUGC